rnacentral:sRNA from 1 species
ACCGCCGAAUCGCCGGAAGCACCGCGAACCGGGGACCCACAACCGGGGUGAAUCCAUUGCCGACAACGAGGCAGUGGUAGGGCGCGAUCGUAAAGAUCACUUCUUCCCGCCCGAACCCGUCAGCUAACUCGGUAGGCGGAGAUCGGAA